ACGGAGGAUCCAAGCGUUAUCCGGAAUCAUUGGGUUUAAAGGGUCCGUAGGUGGAUAAUUAAGUCAGGGGUGAAAGUCUGCAGCUCAACUGUAGAAUUGCCUUUGAUACUGGUUGUCUUGAAUUAUUAUGAAGUGGUUAGAAUAUGUAGUGUAGCGGUGAAAUGCAUAGAUAUUACAUAGAAUACCAAUUGCGAAGGCAGAUCACUAAUAAUAUAUUGACACUGAUGGACGAAAGCGUGGGUAGCGAACAGG
rnacentral:rRNA from 1 species